GAUGAACGCUAGCAGAACGCUUAACACAUGCAAGUCGAGCGAGAUAAAUGUGAGUGGAGACUUCGGUCAAAGCGAUCACUUUGAAAGCGGCGGACGGGUGAGUAACGCGUGAGCAAUCUGCCCCAUACAAAGGGAUACCCACUGGAAACGGUGAUUAAUACCUUAUAAGACCACGAAGUCGCCUGGCUUAGUGGCCAAAGAUUUAUCGGUAUGGGAUGAGCUCGCGUCUGAUUAGCUAGUUGGUGAGGUAAUGGCUCACCAAGGCGACGAUCAGUAGCCUACCUGAGAAGGUGAACGGCCACACUGGAACGUGGACACGGUCCAGACUCCUACGGGAGGCAGCAGUGGGGAAUAUUGCACAAUGGGCGCAAGCCUGAUGCAGCAACGCCGCGUGAAUGAUGAAGGCCUUCGGGUCGUAAAGUUCUGUCCUAAGGGAAGAAUACAGUGACGGUACCUUAGGAGGAAGCCCCGGCUAACUACGUGCCAGCAGCCGCAGUAA
rnacentral:rRNA from 1 species